GGAGCGGGUCGGGCGGCCGCUGGCUGGGGGUUGAAAAGGGUGGUGGAGGUUUCGGUCUCUAUCCCGUUUUUGAUCCCUGGCUGGAGGAAAGUCCGGGCUCCAGAGGGCAGGAUGCCGGAUAACUUCCGGCGGGGGCGACCCCAGGGACAGUGCCACAGAGAGCAGACCGCCGAACGGGGUUUUUAUAACCCGACGGUAAGGGUGAAAGGGUGCGGUAAGAGCGCACCGCGUUUUCCGGUAACGGAAGCGGCAUGGUAAACCCCAUCCGGAGCAAGACCAAAUAGGGGGACGUUAAAGGCUGCCCGUCCAGUCCCCGGGUAGGUUGCAUGAGGUGAUCGGUAACGGUCAUCCCAGAUGAAUGGUCGCCUCCUUGCCGCUGUUGGGGAAAGCGGUGGGAGACAGAACCCGGCUUACAGGCCCGCUCCGGCC
rnacentral:RNase_P_RNA from 1 species